rnacentral:siRNA from 1 species
AUAGACUCUUCUUCCAUUUCGAU